CCUAACACAUGCAAGUCGAACGGACUACUUUGCUUCGGUAAGGUGGUUAGUGGCGAACGGGUGAGUAACGCGUAGACAACCUACCUCUUAGAUGGGGACAACAUCGCGAAAGCGGUGCUAAUACCGAAUGAAGUGACUUUCCUGCAUGGGAGAGAUACUAAAGGUGGCCUCUAUUUAUAAGCUACCACUGAGAGAUGGGUCUGCGUCUGAUUAGCUAGUUGGCGGGGUAAUGGCCCACCAAGGCGACGAUCAGUAGCCGGUCUGAGAGGAUGAACGGCCACAUUGGGACUGAGACACGGCCCAAACUCCUACGGGAGGCAGCAGUGGGGAAUCUUCCGCAAUGGACGAAAGUCUGACGGAGCAACGCCGCGUGAGUGAAGAAGGUUUUCGGAUCGUAAAGCUCUGUUGUUUGAGACGAAUGUGCCUGUUUCGAAUAGGGGUAGGUAAUGACGGUAUUAAACGAGAAAGCCACGGCUAACUACGUGCCAGCAGCCGCGGUAAUACGUAGGUGGCAAGCGUUGUCCGGAAUUAUUGGGCGUAAAGGGAGCGCAGGUGGGAAUGUAAGUCGGUCUUAAAAGUGCGGGGCUCAACCCCGUGAGGGGAUCGAAACUACAUUUCUUGAGUGCAGGAGAGGAAAGUGGAAUUCC
rnacentral:rRNA from 1 species